rnacentral:rRNA from 1 species
GUGGGGAAUCUUCCGCAAUGGACGAAAGUCUGACGGAGCAACGCCGCGUGAGUGAAGAAGGUUUUCGGAUCGUAAAGCUCUUUCGUUAGGGACGAACGUGCUCUUUGUGAAUAAUGAGGAGUAAUGACGGUACCUAAAUAAGAAGCCACGGCUAACUACGUGCCAGCAGCCGCGGUAAUACGUAGGUGGCAAGCGUUGUCCGGAAUUAUUGGGCGUAAAGCGCGCGCAGGCGGGAUAUCAAGUCUGUCUUAAAAGUGCGAGGCUCAACCUCGUGAGGGGACAGAAACUGGUAUUCUUGAGUGUCGGAGAGGAAAGUGGAAUUCCAAGUGUAGCGGUGAAAUGCGUAGAGAUUUGGAAGAACACCAGUGGCGAAGGCGACUUUCUGGACUGUGUCUGACGCUGAGAUGCGAAAGCCAGGGUAGCGAACGGGAUUAGAUACCCGAGUAGUCC